rnacentral:rRNA from 1 species
GACGAACGCUGGCGGCGUGCUUAACACAUGCAAGUCGAACGGAAAGGCCCUGCUUGCAGGGUGCUCGAGUGGCGAACGGGUGAGUAACACGUGGGUGAUCUGCCCCUUACUUUGGGAUAAGCCUGGGAAACUGGGUCUAAUACUGGAUAGGACCAUGCUGUAGGUGGUGUGGUGGAAAGAUUAGUUUCGGUAAGGGAUGAGCUCGCGGCCUAUCAGCUUGUUGGUGGGGUAAUGGCCUACCAAGGCGUCGACGGGUAGCCGGCCUGAGAGGGUGGACGGCCACAUUGGGACUGAGAUACGGCCCAGACUCCUACGGGAGGCAGCAGUGGGGGAUAUUGCACAAUGGGCGCAAGCCUGAUGCAGCGACGCCGCGUGGGGGAUGACGGCCUUCGGGUUGUAAACUCCUUUCAGCCAUGACGAAGCCCUUGUGGUGACGGUAGUGGUAGAAGAAGCACCGGCUAACUACGUG